UGGGGGAUAUUGCACAAUGGGGGAAACCCUGAUGCAGCGACGCCGCGUGGGCGAAGAAGUAUUUCGGUAUGUAAAGCCCUAUCAGCAGGGAAGAAGAAAUGACGGUACCUGAGUAAGAAGCACCGGCUAAAUACGUGCCAGCAGCCGCGGUAAUACGUAUGGUGCAAGCGUUAUCCGGAUUUACUGGGUGUAAAGGGAGCGCAGGCGGCACGGCAAGCCUGAUGUGAAAGCCCGCGGCCCAACCGCGGGACUGCAUUGGGAACUACCGGGCUGGAGUGCCGGAGAGGUAGGCGGAAUUCCUAGUGUAGCGGUGAAAUGCGUAGAUAUUAGGAGGAACACCAGUGGCGAAGGCGGCCUACUGGACGGUGACUGACGCUGAGGCUCGAAAGCGUGGGGAGCA
rnacentral:rRNA from 1 species